GUAAUUGCUGCAGAUCAAAAGCCAUUGGGUGUUGCUCAGAAGUACCCAACCUUUCCUUGUAAGAUUCCCAAAGAAUAGAUUCCUUGAUAUGAUGACUAGUUUGAGGCCGGGCUUGUGCAUCUUCUAAAUGUCUAAUGAAGUUCUUUCUAUGUUUGAUGGUAGCAUUUGCAUAGAAAAACUUUGUAGACUCAUCCCCAAACUAUACACAUUUAAUUGCCCCUCUUUGUUUCCAAUAAUUUUUUUGUUGGCGCAGGAGUGAUUGCAAUUUCUUUGCCAAAGUGUCUCUGAAAUUCCACUCCAUCAAAGAGAGAUCCCUAUACUCCUC
rnacentral:lncRNA from 1 species